UCUAACUCACCCUCACAUAUGACUGCCCCCUUCUCAAACACGGCACUUAACGAUCAAAAUUUUGAGGUAAAUCCUUAACUUCGUUCCUCGAAAUUGCUCUCAUUCAAAUUAUCUCUUCUCAAUCUGAUUCUUUCUCUCUGUUUGAAGAACUUUUCCCCUCAUAAUAUUUAGGGACAUCAAAAACGGAAUUGCGCUGCUCAUUCUUCAAUUGGAAUUUGGAGGAAUUGCGAGAACAAGAAAAUUGCGGGUUACAAUAUAAUUGCAACAAGAACUAUUUAAAGUAUUUUGACGAAAUUCCAUUAUUCAGUAGCAACAUACAAGCAAGCUUAUGGACACAACAUCAACUCAAUACCAUAUUAUGAGCAGUGGCCAUAUAUUGAUAUGCCUACAAUCCUUCCUCCAAUAAUGAAGAGAGCCACAGGAAGGCCAUCAAGGAAUAGAAGGAGGGAAGAUGGUGAGAAGGAGAAAGGAAAGAGAUCAACCAUUGUGCAGUGCAAAAAUUGCAAGUGAUUUGGUCACAAUUCAAGAACAUGUAAGGGUGGGUUAACAGGAAGGGAGAAAAGGGAACUUGCAAAAUAACAAGCAGUUGCAUCACAAUCUGAUCAUGCUGAUGAGGGUAAAAGGAAGACUACUUUCUGUGCAUCCCAGCCAACACCUAGCAUCUCUACUCUUGCGGGUAAGGGAAACAAUAAGGCCUGUGCAUCGCAGCUAACUCCUAACAUCUCUACUCAAGCUGGGAAUAGGAAGAGGAACCAUCAGGAGUCUGCAUCACAACCUAUUUCAACUCUGUCAGCAAUAGAAAGAAAAAGAAGAAUGUCUACAAGUUAAUUUUUGCUGGUUAUCUUGUCUUAUUUUUUUCAUGUGUUUAUUCUCUAAUUAAAGUAGAACAACGCAAUUUGAUUUUGGUAAAUGAUGUAUGUCAACAUCUGUAGUAUUUGAACAAGACAUUUUUGUCAGAAUUAAGUUUUGAAUUUGAUAGCUCCAA